rnacentral:rRNA from 1 species
GUUUUCUUGUACAACUUGCACUUUUUAAAAGUGCUUUUGUUCACGUUCGGGGGGGUCGUGAAGAUUUUACCUGCAAGUAAUUGUACUCGGAAGGGUUAUGAUGACUAUAUAAUAAUCAGACAUAGUACGCUAAGGUAGUAUGUCUAAAGGGAAACAGCCCAGAACAAGAGUUAAUAAGGUUCCAAAAUUAUUGUUAAGUGAAAAUAAGGAAGUUUCAAUCCAAUAUGACCAGGAGAUAGGCUUAGGCGCGGCCAUUUUUUAAAGACCUCGUAAAAGAGCACUGAGUUAGUAAAUUAUUUUAAUAAUUUAUAUUGAUAAAAGCACCCAAAAUUUAACGGAUCUAAACAAUAUACCGAGACCUUGUCCAUAUAUAUAUAUAUAUAUCUAAGUUGUAUAUUGUAUUUAUGGGGUAGCGGAACAUUGGGCAAAUCUAAGAUUUUUUCUUUAAAAGACUUAAGAUAAGAUAACCCAAGUGAUAAUGCUGACAUGAGUAACGAUAAAGGGAAUGAAAUAUUCCCUCGCCUAAAACUUAUGGUAUUUACUUAAAGUAACGGCCUCUAAGUUUAUGAGCCUAAAGGACUAAACGAUGAGAAAAUCUACCGCUAGAUGC